AGUAGCGCCGGGGCGCGCUUGCGGCCCACAGCGUCCCACGUCAGCCUUGCCCCGGCAGAGCUUCACGAGAGGAAAGGCGGGAUUCAGGGUAGGCGCGUACCCUACGAAGACGAAACGAACUUUUAAGACAACUAGAGGAGCUCGCCCCCUGCCUGUGACAGCUUAGGGUCGCCUACUUUUUGUGGACACACUGCCGUCCACGGAGUCCCGAGGCCGCCUGCAGUUUCCUUGCGUCCCUGUGAGACGCACGGUGGCGCAAUUCCCAAGCGUACCAAUCCCGGGCUGGCUGGAGGGCGGGCUCUUCAAAUUUGAAUUGCGGAAGUGUUUUUUGUGUUAGAGAACCUCGCGGAGGCGGUAAGCGUCGCUUGGCGCCUGGCCGCCGCGGGCAGGGUCCACCGUGGGCCUGAGGCGCGAGCCCGGCGGCGUCCGGCCCUUCCUUCGCGCGGAGCCGAGCCGGGACUGCGGCAGUCUCUCCCUGCCAGGCUCUUCACCCAAGGUAGUUCAGCUACAGGAAUGGAUGA
rnacentral:sRNA from 1 species